rnacentral:rRNA from 1 species
AUUGAACGCUGGCGGCAGGCCUAACACAUGCAAGUCGAACGAGUGGCGGACGGGUGAGUAGUGUCUGGGAAACUGCCUGAUGGAGGGGGAUAACUACUGGAAACGGUAGAUAAUACCGCAUAACAUCAGAUGUGCCCAGGUGGGAUUAUCUAGUUGGUGGGGUAACGGCUCACCAAGGCGACGCUCCCUCGCUGGUCUGAGAGGAUGAACAGCCACACUGUAACUGAGACACGGUCCAGACUCCUACGGGAGGCAGCAGUGGGGAAUAUUGCACAAUGGGCGCAAGCCUGAUGCAGCCAUGCCGCGUGUAUGAAGAAGGCCUUCGGGUUGUAAAGUACUUUCAGCGGGGAGGCGUUACCCGCAGAAGAAGCACCGGCUAACUCCGUGCCAGCAGCCGCGGUAAUAC